rnacentral:lncRNA from 1 species
UCGAAACAGAACCACGGCUCGGUUCGUCGCGUGUUCGUGGUGUGUGAGCAAGAUCUUGUGCUGAAGAAGGGGUUCCAGGAGUGGAUGAUUGAGAACAAUCCAGUUGAUGAAGUGAAGAUCAUUUCUGGGGCAGAUCACAUGCCCAUGUUCUCCAAAACCCAUGAAUUGUGUGCCCAUUUGCAUGACAUAGCUCUCAAAUAUUGUUCUUGAUCACUAUAUAGUUGGAAUUGGUCUUGAGUUGUUAUGUGAUGAUCACAUUUUCAUAUUUUAUUUGCAGAUUUUCACUUACCAUGUUGAAGCUCUGAUACCUAAUAUAUCCUUACUCUUCAAUUUUUCGUCUUAAAACUCGUGUUUCUUCCUCCUAGAAAUUUAUUUGGGGGAUGGGUAAUUUAUUGAAUAUACAUUAAAAUCUAUAUGAAUUAUCUUCGAUCGCUACAUUAACUAAAAAUCUUGAUGUUGGAUGGACAACAAGUUCUAGAAAAAUCCCAUAGAACUUAUAUCUAUUUCAUAAUAUAUCUAAUAAAAGAUAUAUUAUACUCCCUCCGUCCGCCAAAAGUGGACCACUUUGGCUGGGCACGGUAUUUAAUAAAAUUGGUGAUAAUUUUGAUGUAGUGGAGAAAGGGACCCACCACUUUAAGAGAUGUGUGGUUGAGAUUGAAUUUGAGGUGGUUUUUUUGUAAAUAAAUAGUGUUUGUAAGGAUAAAAGAUUAAAGUGGAUGGUGGGACCAUUUCUAUAAAAGGAAAGUGGUAUACUCUUUGCGGACGCCCGAUAUAGUAAAAAUGGUCCACUUGAAGAGUAAUUUAUAAUAAAUAAACUGAGUUGGGUUCUAACACCAUAAAGGGGCAAAAUUAUAUAUUGUCUUAGGCCAAUUCUAUUUGGGUCGGUCCAGGAAUCAAAUACAAGAAAUAAAAAUGAGCUUUAAUAUUAUUUCAUCCGUCCCACUUGAAGUGUCUGCUUAUUUUCCUUUUUAGAUUGUCCCACUUAAAUGUUCUAUUUCUCUUUAUGGAAAAAAAUUAGUUUCAAAAAUUGAAAAAUUUUAGCCCUUAAUUCUACACCACACCACUUAAUAAUGUAAUUAAUCUUUUUCUAAAUGACUGUAUCAAAAAACAAAACAAAACAAAACACUUAUAAUGAGACAAAGGGAGUAAUUAGGACAAGUUUUUAUGAAUCUGUACUGAAAUCACCCGCAUACGAGGUAAGGACUACAUUAUUGGUAGAAUAUCACAUCUAGAAAUUUGUAAUUUGGAUAAUUUUUUCUUCUUUCAUGCCAUUGAUGGAGCAUAAUCAGAUAUAUGUAACAUUUUCUCCUGGGCAUAGUAUAUUGUUGAAAAAAAGCUUGCUACCAAGGUUAUAUAAAUUGGGUAUGAGCCAAAAAAAAAAAAGGUUAUAUAAUUGGGUGGAAUAUGCACAUGCAUCCAUCCAUGUCAAUUAAUUGUGAAGGCAUAAUGUGCAUUUUGUAUUUGGUUUAUUUCUGCACAAAACACCAUUUUCCUUCCAAUAUAUACAUUUGAUUUAUUUCUGCACAAAACACCAUUUUCCUUCCAAUAUAUACAUUUGACUUCUAGUAUUAAUCACUCCAUCGUUAGAUCAUUGCAUGAAUGCUCACGAAUGAACUAAAUUUACAUUGUAUUUAUUGGGGUCACUAAUCCUCUUUUGAAAUCCUAUAUACUGUAUUUGGAUUUAGUAAAGCAGGGGACCUAGUAUUAAUUUAGUGUGAAUGUGUGAUAUUAAGAUGUCGAUAAAUUAUUAAUUUGUAAAUAAAUUCAUACAUGUUUAAUUAAAUAAGUUUAUGUAUAUAUUUAUCAAUUAAUUAUGACUAAUAUUAUUUGAGAUCCUAAUGAUAUCAUAGAAAGAUGAUUCAAUAUUAUUAAAAGUAAUCAUGAAAAAUGAGGCAUUGACCGUGACAACAACUCUUCACAACCUUUUAUUGGGGUUGGAAAAAAUUUAAUUUCAAAUCCAAUAUGUGAAUAUGUGAAAGACAAUAAGAUGCAAUUGAAAGUUAGAGAUAAAUCUACCCGAAUUUCAAUUUCAAGAAAAUUUAUUCAAACAAUAAUAGAUUUAUCUUCAACAAAUUAUCAUAAUAUUCAUAAUUCUAAUAUUUUAAGAAUUAUUAAUUUAUAAUAUCAAUGAGACCGAUAUAUUAAUAAAGGGGUUCUUUAAAAAAUUACUCCAUCCGUCCCUAAAAAUUAUGCAUACCUUUUCUUUUUGGUACGUCCCCUAAAAUUAUGCAUACCCUAUUUUUGGACACUACUCCGCAUAUAAUUCUUACAAUUUUAUCCUUUUAACUUACACUAUUUACUUAUAACUAUUUAACAAUAUCCUCAAUGUAAGACUCUUUCUCCACUAUCAUUACCACAAACAGUUUUUUAUUAAAACCCGUGCCGAAGUCAACCAUACAUAAUUUUGAGAGACGGAGGGAGUAUUACUUAAUCUGUCCACCAAAACUAUGGCAACUUUGCUAUCUUUGAUGCCCAUCAAAAAAAUGAUACAUUUUUAUUUUUAGUACACAAUCUAAUAUUUUAUUCUCAUUUUUAAAUUUUGUAAUUAAAUACCACUUACUUAAGCAAAAACCACCACUCACCCACGCUUAAUCCAAUCUCAAUAUAUCCAUAUUCAUUUUAUAUAGUAUCAAAUUGAUGAUUUUUUAACUAACUCAAAUCAAAAUCGAAUAAAUUUAUCAAUUUCUUAAUAAUUAUUUUAAAGAAAUAUACCUCCUACACGUACAUGUUUGUGACUCGCAUGUAUGCUCUUGCUUAUAACAUGUAGGAUUUUAAAAUAGAGAUAACAUCUCAAGUCUUACAUUGAAACUAAUAUAUAAUCAACACAUUGGAAGUGUGAUUAAUGCGAUUUUCAAGUUCAACUCAAUGGAAGAAGAGAGCAAGCACUUUGUGUUGGUUCACGGCGCGUGCCACGGCGCGUGGUGCUGGUACAAGGUGGCGACGAAGCUGAGAGCGGAGGGCCACCGCGUCACCGCCCUCGACAUGGCGGCCUCCGGAGCCGAUCCGAAGCGCGUGGAGGAGCUGAGCUCCAUCUCCGACUACUGCCGCCCCCUCGUAGACUUCAUGGCGGCUCUCCCGCCGCAGGAGAGGGUGAUUCUGGUGGGCCACAGCUUGGGCGGCGUCUGCUUAUCUCUUGCCAUGGAAAACUUCCCUCACACAAUAUCUGUUGCGGUUUUCGUCACCGCCAUGAUGCCUGGCCCCGACCUCACUCACUCGGCUCUUAUUGCGCAGGUUUGUGUUGGCCUAGCGGUAGGAGGUUAAUGCCCAAGACCUGAGGUCCUGUGUUUGAAUUCUCUAUUGUGCGGUCUUUAAAAUUUCUUUAUUUAUUUAUGUAAUUCAUGAAAGAAAAUAAAAAACUAACUCCUUUUCUCUAUUCUUCUUCCUUUUCAACCCUAAUUUAAUUUAUUGGUUUGGGAAAUAUAUAUAUACAGUAUACAUGGAUUCUUACAUGGACUCCUCUUUUUACUUCAACAACGGCAACGACAAACCGCCGACGUCGAUGAUGCUCGGCCCCAAUCUCUUGGCCACGCAGCUCUACCAGCACUCUCCCCCUGAGGUACAUUCCACGUCUCUAAUUUUCAGCGUUUUCUUACAAAAUGUCUAUUUAACUUACGUUUUUCGCUUUAAAACCCUAAACCACUUUAGGAAAAAGUUGAUUCACAUGAUCUGGCGGAAAAAAACCUAAACUCUAAGAAUCUGACGAGGUGACUCAUCAUUCUGUUGCUGAAUCGUGUGAGGCGAAAUAUGAAUAAAAUUUUAUGAUUAAUCCAAAACUCAUUUAUCACUUGCAUGUGCUUACUUACUCCAUGCUCAAGUUGUAUUAAUACAUAUUGCAGGAUUUGAGUCUUGCAACCAUGUUGAUGAGGCCGGUAGGACUCUACGAUGAAUCGGAUAGGGCGAAAGCAACAACUCUGUCGAAACAAAACUACGGCUCCGUUCGCCGCGUGUUCGUGGUGUGUGAGCAAGAUCAUGUGCUGAAGAAGGGGUUCCAGGAGUGGAUGAUUGAGAACAAUCCAGCUGAUGAAGUGAAGAUCAUUUCUGGGGCAGAUCACAUGCCCAUGUUCUCCAAAACCCAUGAAUUAUGUGCCCAUCUGCAUGACAUAGCUCUCAAAUAUUGUUCUUGAUCACUAUAUA